AUUGAACGCUGGCGGCAUGCCUUACACAUGCAAGUCGAACGGCAGCACGGAGCUUGCUCUGGUGGCGAGUGGCGAACGGGUGAGUAAUAUAUCGGAACGUACCCUGGAGUGGGGGAUAACGUAGCGAAAGUUACGCUAAUACCGCAUACGAUCUAAGGAUGAAAGUGGGGGAUCGCAAGACCUCAUGCUCGUGGAGCGGCCGAUAUCUGAUUAGCUAGUUGGUAGGGUAAAAGCCUACCAAGGCAUCGAUCAGUAGCUGGUCUGAGAGGACGACCAGCCACACUGGAACUGAGACACGGUCCAGACUCCUACGGGAGGCAGCAGUGGGGAAUUUUGGACAAUGGGCGAAAGCCUGAUCCAGCAAUGCCGCGUGAGUGAAGAAGGCCUUCGGGUUGUAAAGCUCUUUUGUCAGGGAAGAAACGGUGAGAGCUAAUAUCUCUUGCUAAUGACGGUACCUGAAGAAUAAGCACCGGCUAACUACGUGCCAGCAGCCGCGGUAAUACGUAGGGUGCAAGCGUUAAUCGGAAUUACUGGGCGUAAAGCGUGCGCAGGCGGUUUUGUAAGUCUGAUGUGAAAUCCCCGGGCUCAACCUGGGAAUUGCAUUGGAGACUGCAAGGCUAGAAUCUGGCAGAGGGGGGUAGAAUUCCACGUGUAGCAGUGAAAUGCGUAGAUAUGUGGAGGAACACCGAUGGCGAAGGCAGCCCCCUGGGUCAAGAUUGACGCUCAUGCACGAAAGCGUGGGGAGCAAACAGGAUUAGAUACCCUGGUAGUCCACGCCCUAAACGAUGUCUACUAGUUGUCGGGUCUUAAUUGACUUGGUAACGCAGCUAACGCGUGAAGUAGACCGCCUGGGGAGUACGGUCGCAAGAUUAAAACUCAAAGGAAUUGACGGGGACCCGCACAAGCGGUGGAUGAUGUGGAUUAAUUCGAUGCAACGCGAAAAACCUUACCUACCCUUGACAUGGCUGGAAUCCUUGAGAGAUCAGGGAGUGCUCGAAAGAGAACCAGUACACAGGUGCUGCAUGGCUGUCGUCAGCUCGUGUCGUGAGAUGUUGGGUUAAGUCCCGCAACGAGCGCAACCCUUGUCAUUAGUUGCUACGAAAGGGCACUCUAAUGAGACUGCCGGUGACAAACCGGAGGAAGGUGGGGAUGACGUCAAGUCCUCAUGGCCCUUAUGGGUAGGGCUUCACACGUCAUACAAUGGUACAUACAGAGCGCCGCCAACCCGCGAGGGGGAGCUAAUCGCAGAAAGUGUAUCGUAGUCCGGAUUGUAGUCUGCAACUCGACUGCAUGAAGUUGGAAUCGCUAGUAAUCGCGGAUCAGCAUGUCGCGGUGAAUACGUUCCCGGGUCU
rnacentral:rRNA from 1 species